rnacentral:rRNA from 1 species
CAAUAGCGUAUAUUUAAGUUGUUGCAGUUAAAAAGCUCGUAGUUGGAUUUCGGUCAAGAGCGACCGGUCCGCCGUUUGGUGUGCACUGGUUGGUUUUAACUUCCUGUAGAGGACGUGCUCUGGGUUUAACGACCUGGACUCGGAGUCUACGUGGUUACUUUGAAAAAAUUAGAGUGUUCAAAGCGGGCUUACGCUUGAAUAUUUCAGCAUGGAAUAACACUAUAGGACUCCUGUCCUAUUUCGUUGGUCUCGGGACGGGAGUAAUGAUUAAGAGGAACAGUUGGGGGCAUUCGUAUUUCAUUGUCAGAGGUGAAAUUCUUGGAUUUAUGAAAGACGAACUUCUGCGAAAGCAUUUGCCAAGGAUGUUUUCAUUAA